AGCUUCAUGGCGUAGUGGAAGCGCGCCGGGCUCAUAGUCCGGAGGUCCUCCGAUCGAAACGGAGUGGAGUUA